rnacentral:snRNA from 1 species
GGUUGUGAGGGCGAUCUCUGGCUGCAACAUCUGUGACCUCCCUGACCACCAGGAUUGGUUGGCUGAGUUGGCUGGCUGGGCGGUGUCCCCUUCCUCCCCUUCCUCCUUCAACGCUCCAGGUGCUCCGUGGAAGAGGAGGACAGCCCCCGAUAGAGAAGGACUCUUUUUCUUGGUCAAGGGUAUAGCUGUGCUCCCCUGCUAGAACCUACAAACAAGCUCCCAAAAGAGUAUCUGGUGUACACGAAAGGGGUUCUGUGUAAAUGUGUGCAGGUCAGUGCAUACAUUAGUUCUAUUUCUUU